rnacentral:rRNA from 1 species
AAUAUUGGACAAUGGAGGAAACUCUGAUGCAGCGUCGCCGCUUGAACGAAGAAGGCCUCCGGGUCGUAAAGUCCUUUCCUUGGGGACGAUAAUGCCGGUACCCAAGGAGGAAGCCCCGGCUAACUACGUGCCAGCAGCCGCGGUAAUACGUAGGGGGCGAGCGUUGUCCGGAAUUAUUGGGCGUAAAGGGUUCGCAGGCGGUCCUUUAAGUCAGAUGUGAAAGCCCACGGCUCAACCGUGGUAAGCAUUUGAAACUGAAGGACUUGAGUUAAGGAGAGGAAAGUGGAAUUCCUAGUGUAGCGGUGAAAUGCGUAGAUAUUAGGAGGAAUACCAGUGGCGAAGGCGACUUUCUGGACUUAUACUGACGCUGAGGAACGAAAGCGUGGGGAGCAAACA